GGCAACUUGGCCGAGUGGUCUAAGGCGCUGGAAUUAGGUUUCUUUCCUUCAUCCAGUCCGCAAGGGCGUGAGUUCGAACCUCACAGUUGUCA